rnacentral:ribozyme from 1 species
UGCCCAGCAACUCCUAUCCCUACCUCCUCUUGGUACUGGCCGGGGUUCGAGUAACCUUAGGGAAGAUCUGGUAACCAACCCCGGUGGGAACUUUGGUCGUAUGCUGACAGGGAAAG